rnacentral:lncRNA from 1 species
GCACAGGUGCUUGCAGGAACCUGGGUAUGGAUGGGGAAGUAGAGGAAAAGGAAGGGUGCGGGUGUCCUCCCUUUGGGGGACAAGGCCUGUCCAGUGGCCAACAGAAUAGGAGGAUGCCAUUUCCCGGGCCGUCGGAAGAAGGGGCUCUUCAGGCAGCACCUCCUUUGAGGCAGUGAGGCUGGCCCUCUGAGAGAGGGGAAAGGAGACGAUCGAGAAGAACAUUGACGUGUGUUGACCAGGUACAGUCCAGUCUGUCCUCCUGGCUUUCCCUGCCCUUCUUCAGAACCAGGGAAUCCAGUGCUUUCUGUCCCGGGGAGAUGCUGAUUGGGACCCUCUGUCUCCAUCUGCAAAGACUCUCUCUGUGAGAAAUAACAAGAUCCUUACUGAUCCGCACAAACGAAGGAAGGUCUCUCUGCUCCCCGACAAAGGCCGACCUGAGAGUAGUCACACCUCUUAAAACAUCACUCACAACAUCCCGGACCAAAGCAAAAGCAGUGUGCCAAGGGGCCAAACAAACAGGCAAGAAAUCAGUAAGCCCUGGUGAGUUGCCAAAUUUGGCUUCUGGCUGUUUGCCCUGCAGGGAAUUACGUAAUUCCCAGAGGAGAGCCCUCCCCUGCCUGCGAAUCUCAGCCUCUCCUGGGAGGCUUUUCCUCCUAAGGACUGGCAGCCAAAAUAGGUGAGAAUCUCACUUCCUCUGCCGUGAGGCAGCUGGUUUUUUAUGAGCUGAUUUUGUUGUCAGUGCCAGUGGGUUGGUGUGGAAGGAAAC